rnacentral:lncRNA from 10 species
AGACCCGGAGUUUCUGUCCAUGUCCAAUGCAUUCAAGAUUCUUCUGCAAAUCUGAACAGUAAAAGGACACAAGAACAGAAGAUCUGAAGGCAAUGAGAGAUAAGAAAGCCUGAAGUACAUGGAGGAAAGAAGAAAUCCAUUUGAAUGGAAGAAGCAUUCCAAGUGACAGAAUGUAUCAGAACAUUUAAAGACGAAAGAAGGACAUCAUUUUGAAUCAUGAGGCCUACUGGAAAAAUAAACAACAAAAAACAAGCAAGCAAAAUACAGUGGAGAGAGCUGAUAGAGCAGUAGAAAGUCUCCUGGAAUAUCCCCACAGGCUGCUGGUGUCUGGUAGGGAGGAGUCCAAUUUUCUAUUUUUUUUCAAUGAGUUACAUGACUAUAAUCCAACAUUUUUGUAAUUUCAACAAAAAACAUUUGAACAUGCAGUAAAUCACUGGAGGUUACCAGGGAAGAAAGGACCUGCAGCCUUGAACAAAGACGGAUUUAGAAAUAUGUUCAGCAAUACCAGUGAAUAGUACAGGAGAAUCUAGGAUAAAGGAAACAGACUGGAAAAUAAACGAUCCUAGAAAGAAAAGUUCAGAGAAUGAGAACCCCUGGACUGUCUCAAAAAAAAGAAAAAAGAAAAAAACAGAAACGCGACAUGCUCUAAAAAGGAAUAUUUAACCUGGAUUAAUUCAUAAAAUAAUAGGAGAAAAUUUUUGCAGCCAGAAUACUAUGAAUUUGAGUUGGUUGAA